rnacentral:rRNA from 1 species
CAGCCGCCGCGGUAAUACGUAGGUGGCAAGCGUUGUCCGGAAUUAUUGGGCGUAAAGGGCUCGCAGGCGGUUGUGUAAGACAGGUGUGAAAUCCCCGGGCUUAACCUGGGAACUGCGCUUGUGACUGCACAGCUAGAGUAUGGCAGAGGGGGGUGGAAUUCCACGUGUAGCAGUGAAAUGCGUAGAGAUGUGGAGGAACACCGAUGGCGAAGGCAGCCCCCUGGGCCAAUACUGACGCUCAUGCACGAAAGCGUGGGGAGCAAACAGGAUUAGAUACCCGAGUAGUCCCUGUCUCUUAUCC